rnacentral:rRNA from 1 species
GACGAACGCUGGCGGCGUGCUUAACACAUGCAAGUCGAACGCAGUGGCGAACGGGUGAGUAAUACGUGGGUAAACUGCCCUCCUUUUUGGGAUAAGCCUUGGAAACGGGGUCUAAUACAGAAUAAAGGGGGAUGGGCUCGCGGCCUAUAAGCUGGUUGGUGGGGUGAUGGCCUACCAAGGCGGUGACGGGUAGCCGGCCUGAGAGGGUGAGCGGCCACAUUGGGACUGAGAUACGGCCCAGACUCCUACGGGAGGCAGCAGUGGUGGAUAUUGCACAAUGGGCGAAAGCCUGAUGGAGCGACGCCGCGGUAAUAC